GAAAUGCGAUACGUCAUGCGAAUUGCAAAACCAGUGAGUCAUCAAAACUUUGAACGCAACUUGCACUUCCCUUUGGGGAGUAUGUCUGUUGGAGUGCUUGUUCAUCCCCACCACAAACCCCAUUCCCUAAUAAGGUCUGGGAGUUAAGUGAAGUCCGCCUAUUCAGUAGUAAUACUCAAUAGAGCGCAGAUGAAACAAAAUCAAAUAUCCGAUCUGAAUCAGUUUAACCUUUCGGGGAUAAAUAUGAUUACAGAACGCGACGUCAUAGUGUAAAAACUUAGAAUCGUGUUUUGUAUUCAGAAUGAUGAUCUCGGUAUAUUUUUCGAUCGAGCCUCCAAUCAGUCAAGAAUACCCGCUGAAUUUAA
rnacentral:misc_RNA from 1 species